GACGAACGCUGGCGGCGUGCUUAACACAUGCAAGUCGAACGGAAAAGCCCUGCUUUUGUUGGGUGCUCGAGUGGCGAACGGGAGAGUAACAUGUGAGUAACCUGCCCUUGACUUUGGGAUAACUUCACGAAACUGGGGCUAAUACCGGAUAGGAGCUCCUGCUGCAUGGUGGGGGUUGGACUGUUGCGGCGGUUGGGGCUGGACUCGGGGCUCAUCAGCUGGUUGGUGGGGUAGUGGCUUACCAGGGCUUUGACGGGUAGCCGGCCUGAGAGGGUGACCGGCCACAUUGGGACUGAGAUGCGGCCCAGACUCCUACGGGAGGCAGCAGUGGGGAAUAUUGCAAAGUGGGCGGAAGCCUGAUGCAGCAACGCCGCGUGCGGGAUGACGGCCUUCGGGUUGUGAACCGCUUUCGCCUGUGACGAAGCGGGAUUGACGGUAAUGGGUAAAGAAGCACCGGCUAACUACGUG
rnacentral:rRNA from 1 species